rnacentral:rRNA from 1 species
CAAUAGCGUAUAUUAAAGUUGUUGUAGUUAAAAAGCUCGUAGUUGGAUUUCUGGUUGAAGCGACCGGUCGGGCGUUGAUUCGUCUGCACUGGAGUCGGUUUUGGCCAUCCUCUAGGAAAGUGCGUCUGGUAUUAAGUUAUCGGGCGUAUGAUCCUGGUCUUUUACUGUGAAAAAAUUAGAGUGUUUAAAGCAGGCCUUCGCCUUGAAUACAUUAGCAUGGAAUAAUAAGAUAGGACUUUGGUCUAUUUUGUUGGUUUGCAGACCGAAGUAAUGAUUAAUAGGGAUAGUUGGGGGUAUUUAUAUUCCGAUGUCAGAGGUGAAAUUCUUAGAUUUUCGGAAGAUAAACUUAUGCGAAAGCAUUUACCAAGGAUGUUUUCAUUAA